UACAGAGGUCUCAAGCGUUGUUCGGAUUCAUUGGGCGUAAAGGGUGCGUAGGCGGCGGAGCAAGUCUGAUGUGAAAUCCCGGGGCUCAACCCCGGAACUGCCUUUGAUACUGGGUAUCUCGAGUCCGAGAGAGGUGAGUGGAAUUCCGAGUGUAGAGGUGAAAUUCGUAGAUAUUGGGUGGAACACCGGUGGCGAAAGCGGCUCACUGGCUCGGUUCUGACGCUGAGGCGCGAAAGCGUGGGGAGCAAACAGG
rnacentral:rRNA from 1 species